GGGCUCGGUAGGGACACGCCCGUGUGACACGGCCGUGUGCGAUUGCUUAAGGCCGUGGUCAAGCCUGUUAAAUAAGCACGGGCGUGUGGUCCACCCGUGUGAGUCAUGCUUCGAUUCUGCCAAAUUGACACGGCCGUGUGGUCUGCCUGCGUGAGAAGGUUCAGGUUGUGUUGAUUUCGUACGUUGGCCCAUUUUCUCCGUUUUUGGCCCGUUUCCCAUUCCUUUCACUCUCCUAUGCUCACCUAUGUAUAAAACAUGAAAUUAAGCAUUAUGAGCAUCAAAU
rnacentral:lncRNA from 1 species